rnacentral:rRNA from 1 species
AUUGAACGCUGGCGGCAGGCCAAACAAAUGCAAGUCGAGCGGAGCGGCGGACGGGCGAGGAAGGCCUAGGAAUGUGCCUGGUAGGGGGGGAUAAGGUCCGGAAACGGGGGCCAAUACCGCAAAACAUCAGAUGAGCAGAGGGCGGAGUAGCUAGUUGGUGGGGUAAAGGCCUCCCAAGGCGACGAACCGUAACUGGUCCGAGAGGAUGAUCAGUAACACCGGAACUGAUGCGCGGUCCAGACUCCUACGGGAGGCAGCAGUGGGGAAUAUUGGACAAGGGGCGAAAGCCUGCUCCAGCCAUGCCGCGUGUGUGAAGAAGGUCUUCGGAUUUUAAAGCACGUUAAGUUGGGAGGCGUUACCAACAGAAUAAGCACCGGCUAACUUCGUGCCAGCAGCCGCGGUAAUAC